rnacentral:sRNA from 1 species
CAAAAUUCAUCCAUAAGAUGUUGGAUGGUAGAACAGUUUCCUGUCUGCUGACUGGAUUGUUCCACCCAGCGCCAUGUGUCCAGGCCCGUCCAGGUUGUGGCAGCUGUUGGUGCUGCCCUCCUUUUCAUGGCUGAGUAGUAUUCCAUCAUCUGGAAGGAGCACAUUUUGUCUGUCUGUUCCUCCAUUGGUGGACAUUUGGCCUGUAUCCGCCUUGCAGCUGCGACCAAGCUGUACACCCUGCCUGCAAGCCACGCCACGCGUGUGUAUGAGAUGCUGGUCAGCCACAUUCAGCUCCACUACAAGCACAGCUACACCCUGCCAAUCGCGAGCAGCAUCCGGCUGCAGGCCUUUGACUUCCUGUUGCUGCUGC